GAUGAACGCUGGCGGCGUGCCUAAUACAUGCAAGUCGAGCGAACAGACGAGGAGCUUGCUCCUCUGACGUUAGCGGCGGACGGGUGAGUAAGACGUGGAUAACCUACCUAUAAGACUUGGAGAACUUCGGGAAACCGGAGCUAAUACCAGAUAAUAUAUUGAACCGCAUGGUUCAAUAGUGAAAGACGGUUUUGCUGUCACUUAUAGAUGGAUCCGCGCCGCAUUAGCUAGUUGGUAAGGUAACGGCUUACCAAGGAAACGAUGCGUAGCCGACCUGAGAGGGUGAUCGGCCACACUGGAACUGAGACACGGUCCAGACUCCUACGGGAGGCAGCAGUAGGGAAUCUUCCGCAAUGGGCGAAAGCUUGACGGAGCAACGCCGCGUGAGUGAUGAAGGUCUUCGGAUCGUAAAACUCUGUUAUUAGGGAAGAACAAAUGUGUAAGUAACUAUGCACGUCUUGACGGUACCUAAUCAGAAAGCCACGGCUAACUACGUG
rnacentral:rRNA from 1 species